rnacentral:lncRNA from 1 species
UACCAUGCUCAUAAAUUCUAAGGUAAGAAGCUUACUACUAGGGCAUUCAGAGAAAUCCCAAAACUCACCCAAUCCUAUUGCACCAAAAACUUCAAAGAACUCCUCAUCCAUACCUGUGUAGUGGAGGAAUUGAGGGUCAAAGUGGUGUGUUUGAAUUCGUGGUGGCGGAUUUUGUUAAGGGUGACCAUCUCCUCAGUAGUGAGCCAUAUUCCGGUUUCCUGGUCUUGUAUCUUUAGGGGUUGUGCUUCUUUAUCUGGUUCUUGUUCAUCUUGCUGCAUGUCCUCCUCGUAUAUGUGUUCCUCUGUGUCAUGGACGGAUUGUUCGCCUCUAGAGCUGAUGGAUUAGCGUGAAGUCCUUGAUGAGCUUCCUCUAAGGGCUAAGCAUGCCUUUAUUGCCACGACUUUGAAUGGGUUCUUCAUGCCUACUAGGGAAGAAAGACAUACACUAUUUGGACAAGAGAGGUUACUGUUAAGUGAUUUACUCACCGGUGUUUACCACUUCUUGACUCCUCUAGCAAUGAAUGUAUCACUUUGAGAAAGAGAUGGGGAGGAUUUCGAUGUUUUUGCUGGUGGUCUUGAGUGUAGCAAAGUGUGUGUGUGCAUGGGAAUAAAAGGAGUGAAGAGCAUGCACAAGGAAGGGAUCGGCCGAUCCCUGCACUCC